AGAGUUUGAUCAUGGCUCAGAGCGAACGCUGGCGGCAGGCUUAACACAUGCAAGUCGAGCGGGCGUAGCAAUACGUCAGCGGCAGACGGGUGAGUAACGCGUGGGAACGUACCUUUUGGUUCGGAACAACACAGGGAAACUUGUGCUAAUACCGGAUAAGCCCUUACGGGGAAAGAUUUAUCGCCGAAAGAUCGGCCCGCGUCUGAUUAGCUAGUUGGUGAGGUAAUGGCUCACCAAGGCGACGAUCAGUAGCUGGUUCUGAGAGGAUGAUCAGCCACAUUGGGACUGAGAUACGGCCCAAACUCCUACGGGAGGCAGCAGUGGGGAAUAUUGGACAAUGGGGGCAACCCUGAUCCAGCCAUGCCGCGUGAGUGAUGAAGGCCCUAGGGUUGUAAAGCUCUUUUGUGCGGGAAGAUAAUGACGGUACCGCAAGAAUAAGCCCCGGCUAACUUCGUGCCAGCAGCCGCGGUAAUACGAAGGGGGCUAGCGUUGCUCGGAAUCACUGGGCGUAAAGGGUGCGUAGGCGGGUCUUUAAGUCAGGGGUGAAAUCCUGGAGCUCAACUCCAGAACUGCCUUUGAUACUGAAGAUCUUGAGUUCGGGAGAGGUGAGUGGAACUGCGAGUGUAGAGGUGAAAUUCGUAGAUAUUCGCAAGAACACCAGUGGCGAAGGCGGCUCACUGGCCCGAUACUGACGCUGAGGCACGAAAGCGUGGGGAGCAAACAGGAUUAGAUACCCCCGUAGUCC
rnacentral:rRNA from 1 species